CUACCAUCGAUAGUGUCGAUAGUGCCAUCGAUAGUUCUCCACCUUCUACUAUUAUUAACAACAUUAUUAAUAACAUUCAUGUGAAACGUCGUGUUCCAGUGCAAAUACGGCUGAAAACCAUUCCGGUGACAUUAGAAAAUAUUUAGAGUUCCAGUUACAAAACUGAAAACAAAACAAAACUCUUGGGCCGCCCUACCACCCCAAAAAAAACCGACCCUCCAAGGGCAGAACAGCUGCAAUGCCAUCAAAAACAUCGACUUUGGGUGUGAAGUUGGUCAGAGUCGAGCGCCCGUGUGUCCGUUCCAAUUAUUGUAUUGCAAAAACGCUGAUUAGAGGGAAGACACUGCACCACACCGUGCCCCUACCCGCCCGCACACCGCACACCAGCCAGCGGCACAGACAGUAUUUCGUUGCUCUGUGAAACGCUCAUGUGGAUUCGUUUUAUUGGUGCUCACAAGUAUCGUAUGAUAAUCUCCGUUCUAUUGUUGUUCUUGUUGUGCUUUUCCGCGGGCUUCUCGCACACAUCCGCAUGCACAGUACACGUACGCAGCGCAUGUGGGAGCUCUGCAUGUGUGUGUUGCUGAGUGGCUGCCAACCUGUCGAAAAUUUUCACCAUUUUAAUUCAAUAGAUAAUUAGAAAUA